rnacentral:rRNA from 1 species
UACGAAGGGGGCUAGCGUUGUUCGGAUUUACUGGGCGUAAAGCGCACUAGGCGGAUCUUUAAGUCAGAGGUGAAAUCCCAAGGCUCAACCUUGGAACUGCCUUUGAUACUGGGGAUCUUGAGUCCGGGAGAGGUGAGUGGAACUGCGAGUGUAGAGGUGAAAUUCGUAGAUAUUCGCAAGAACACCAGUGGCGAAGGCGGCUCACUGGCCCGGUACUGACGCUGAGGUGCGAAAGCGUGGGGAGCAAACAGG